rnacentral:rRNA from 1 species
GCCAAUGGGGGGUGCCUAAUACAUGCAAGUCGAACGCACUGACGUCGACCGAAGCUGCUUGCAGUGGACGUUGAUUGACGUGAGUGGCGGACGGGUGAGUAACACGUGGGUAACCUACCCUUAAGUGGGGGAUAACAUUUGGAAACAGAUGCUAAUACCGCAUAACCAUUCAGGCCACAUGGUCUGAAUGUAAAAGACGGCCUUUGGCUGUCACUUUUGGACGGACCCGCGGCGUAUUAGUUAGUUGGUAAGGUAACGGCUUACCAAGACAAUGAUACGUAGCCGACCUGAGAGGGUAAUCGGCCACAUUGGGACUGAGACACGGCCCAAACUCCUACGGGAGGCAGCAGUAGGGAAUCUUCCACAAUGGACGAAAGUCUGAUGGAGCAACGCCGCGUGAGUGAAGAAGGUUUUAGGAUCGUAAAACUCUGUUGUUGGAGAAGAACAGGGACUAGAGUAACUGUUAGUCCUUUGACGGUAUCCAACCAGAAAGCCACGGCUAACUACGUGCCAGCAGCCGCGGUAAUACGUAGGUGGCAAGCGUUGUCCGGAUUUAUUGGGCGUAAAGCGAGCGCAGGCGGUUUUUUAAGUCUGAUGUGAAAGCCUUCGGCUUAACCGAAGAAGUGCAUUAGAAACUGGGAAACUUGAGUGCAGAAGAGGACAGUGGAACUCCAUGUGUAGCGGUGAAAUGCGUAGAUAUAUGGAAGAACACCAGUGGCGAAGGCGGCUGUCUGGUCUGUAACUGACGCUGAGGCUCGAAAGUAUGGGGAGCGAACAGGAUUAGAUACCCUGGUAGUCCAUACCGUAAACGAUGAAUGCUAAGUGUUGGAGGGUUUCCGCCCUUCAGUGCUGCAGCUAACGCAUUAAGCAUUCCGCCUGGGGAGUACGACCGCAAGGUUGAAACUCAAAGGAAUUGACGGGGGCCCGCACAAGCGGUGGAGCAUGUGGUUUAAUUCGAAGCAACGCGAAGAACCUUACCAGGUCUUGACAUCCUUUGACCACUGUAGAGAUACAGCUUUCCCUUCGGGGACAAAGUGACAGGUGGUGCAUGGUUGUCGUCAGCUCGUGUCGUGAGAUGUUGGGUUAAGUCCCGCAACGAGCGCAACCCUUAUGACUAGUUGCCAGCAUUUAGUUGGGCACUCUAGUAAGACUGCCGGUGACAAACCGGAGGAAGGUGGGGAUGACGUCAAAUCAGCAUGCCCCUUAUGACCUGGGCUACACACGUGCUACAAUGGUCGGUACAACGAGUUGCGAACCCGCGAGGGUAAGCUAAUCUCUUAAAGCCGAUCUCAGUUCGGAUUGUAGGCUGCAACUCGCCUACAUGAAGCCGGAAUCGCUAGUAAUCGCGGAUCAGCACGCCGCGGUGAAUACGUUCCCGGGCCUUGUACACACCGCCCGUCACACCAUGAGAGUUUGUAACACCCGAAGUCGGUGGGGUAACCCUUUUAGGGAACUAGCCGCUAAGUGAACAAAUGG